rnacentral:lncRNA from 1 species
AGAUGAUGCUUCAGUGGCUGCAGCAGGAAAAGCUCUUCGCCUCUCGGUACCUUAAGUAUACCUGAGUAGCCAGUGGUCAACAUGGGUUUGCUGCUCUCCUCACUGCAAUAAAUGACGCCCUGACUGAAAACUGCGCACCGACCGCAGCCGGGAUUACAUCAAUCAGGCACAAAGCUGGACACCUGGGACAGGAUAAGCGCACGCGCACUGUGCCUGGGAAGCCGAUUAGGACCAUAAGAAAUCGGCGUGUCGUGGCGAGCGCCCUCUUUCGGCGGAGGGGAGAAAGCGCAGAAGGGCUGGAGGACUUAUUUGCAAGUGUUAAACUGCUAAUUAAAACAAUAGCGAUAAACCAUAUCUCCUCCAUUAGCCUGGGGGAGAAAAUUAAAUGUUGCUGCUACUCAGUGUUACCUGUCAUAUGGGGAUACAGGCAUUCUCAUGCGCUUAUGAUGGGAAUGUAAAAUACAAAUUUACAUAAUGGCAUUUUAAAAUUUUAGACAUAGGUUCAAAUUCUUUUUUUUCUGUUUUUAAGACAAGGUCUCGCUCUGUUGUCUAGACUGGAGUGCGGUAGCACGCACAAUCAUGGCUCAUUGCGGCCUUGACUUCUCAGGCUCAGGCCAUCCUCCCACCUCUCAGCCUCCGUAGUAGCUGGGUCUGCAGGCGCGCACCACCAUGCCCUUUUAAUUUUCGUUUUUUGUUUUUUGUUUUUUUGUAAAGACGGGGUUUCACAAUGUUGCCCAGGCUGGUCUCGAACCCCUGGGCUCAAGCGAUCCAAUCGCUUCGGCCUCCCAAAGGGCUGGAAUUACAGACAUGAGCCACCGCACCCGCCUGGGUUCAAAUUCUAACUGCAAUUUACUAGCCGUGUGAAAUCUAGAGUUACUUAUUUACCCUCUCUGUGCCUCUGUUUUCUUAUUUGUUAAAGUGAGAAUGUAAAUGAUGGUACCUAUCUCAUUAUGUUGUUAGAAGGAUUAAGUUAAUCCAUGUAAAGAGCUGGAAAUAUAACUAUUGUAAUGUUAUAUUUAUUUCAGUUAAUCUCAGAUUUAAAACAAACUGAAAAAUUCAUAAAGUUGCUGUAAGGGGCAGUAAGCAGUAGAAGGGAUGCAUUGAGUAUCCCCUUUAUUACUCCCCCCUUUUCCCUAUUUCACCUUCUAAAUAUUUAUAAUUAUUAUUUUGAAUAGAUAAUACGUUUACAUGGCUCAAAAAUCAGAACACUAUUUUAGAAUAUACACAGAGAAACCUCCCUUCAACCCUGGUUCCCAUCGACUCCAUCCCCCUUGCCUGCUACAGAUAAUGCUUAUUAGUGUCUUCUUGUUUAUCUUUUCAGUGUUUUGUGCAAAUAUAAACUCAUAUGAAUAUAUAGUCUUACUCCUCCCAUUUCUUAUGCCAAAUGUAGCAUGCCAGAUACAAUUGGCAUAAGUUCUGUUCACUUAAUCUAUUCUGAAAAUCUUUCUAAAUCAAUAAAUUAGAGAUCUUCCUCAUUUUUCAGCUGCUUAGUACUCUAUUGCAUGGAUACACAUAAUUUAUUAACCAGUUUCUUCUAGUUACAUACUUUAUUUCCAGUCUUUUAGUAUUACAAUCUUGCAAUGAAUCACUUUGAACAUAAUGACAUUCCAAUGUGAGCAGGCAUAUCUCUAGGAUACAUCUUGGUCAAAUAAUAAAUGUAUCUAUAAUUUUAGUAGAAAUGUCUUCCAUCUCCUUCAAUUAAAGAAAAAUAAAAAGUAAAUAUAAAGACUUUAAAAGAUACUGCAUAUACAUAUUUUUAAUUGUCGUAAAGCAUACAUAACAUGAAAUUUACCAUUUUAACCAUGUUUAAGUUCAGUGGCACUCAGAACAUUCACAUUGUUGUGCAAUCAUCACCACUAUCCAUCUCCAGAACUUUUUCACCUUUCUGUACCAAAAACAAACAUGUAAGCAAACAAAACCCUCUGUGAUGAUCUGACAAAAAAACUAAAGUGUAUGAUAGAAUGUGUGUAGGUUAUAUAUAAAUAAAACACAGUUGGCCCUCUG